GUCAUAGCGUGUGUGACCAGCCCGAGUGAGCCUUGGAAUGAGGUGAACUACGUUGAACACAGGUGAGUCGGCCCACGGCCGGGUGCUUCCUCAGCCCGGUCCUCUGGAAUCGCGGUCAGCAGACAACCCGUCGGGUCGGGACGAAACGGGAUCGCGACGUCCCAUCGUUGUGGUGGGGCAAACCGGUGUUCAACAUGGGCGAGGGGAGACCGCUGUUCCGGUUCCGGCACAGCGG
rnacentral:sRNA from 1 species